CUGCGCGUAGUUUAAAUUCAAGUGUCAUAAGUGCAUCUCGUGGAUGCCUUGGCGAUCAGAGGCGAUGAAGGACGUGGUACGCUGCGAUAAGCUACGGCGAGGUGCGAACAACCUUUGACCCGUAGAUCUCCGAAUGGGGAAACCCACUCUUUUAGAGUAUCUUGUACUGAAUACAUAGGUGCAAGAGGCAAACCUGGGGAAUUGAAACAUCUUAGUACCCAGAGGAAAGGAAAUCAACCGAGACUCCGUUAGUAGUGGCGAGCGAACGCGGACCAGCCCAGUGGCUGUGUUGUAACAAUUAGAAGUGGAUGGAAAGCCACGCCAUAGAAGGUGAUAGCCCUGUAUAAGUAAAAAGCGACAUAGUCCUUGAGUAAGGCGGAACACGUGAAAUUCUGUCUGAACAUGGGGGGCCCAUCCUCCAAGGCUAAGUACUCCUGAUCGACCGAUAGCGAACAAGUACCGUGAGGGAAAGGUGAAAAGAACCCCGAUGAGGGGAGUGAAACAGACCUGAAACGGGAUGCAUACAAGCAGUCGGAGCACCUAUACGGUGUGACGGCGUACCUUUUGUAUAAUGGGUCAGCGAGUUACUCUUACAUGCAAGCUUAAGCCGAUAGGUGUAGGCGCAGCGAAAGCGAGUCUGAAUAGGGCGCCAGAGUAUGUAGGAGUAGACCCGAAACCCGGUGAUCUAGCCAUGGCCAGGUUGAAGGUUGGGUAACACCAACUGGAGGACCGAACCCACAUCCGUUGAAAAGGAUCGGGAUGAGCUGUGGCUAGGGGUGAAAGGCCAAUCAAACCGGGUAAUAGCUGGUUCUCCGCGAAAUCUAUUUAGGUAGAGCGUCAUGUUAUACUCUCGGGGGUAGAGCACUGGAUGGACUAGGGGGGCGCGAGCCUUACCAAAUCUAACCAAACUCCGAAUACCGAGAAGUACAUUCAUGGCAGACACACUGCGGGUGAUAAGGUCCGUAGUGGAAAGGGAAACAGCCCAGACCUCCAGCUAAGGUCCCCAAAUGAUAACUAAGUGGAAAAGCAAGUUGGAUUUCCAUGACAACCAGGAGGUUGGCUUAGAAGCAGCCAUCCUUUAAAGAAAGCGUAAUAGCUCACUGGUCUAAAUAAGAAAUCCGGCGGCGAAGAUGUAUCGGGUCUUAAGUUAUCUACCGAAGCUGAGGAUGCACACUUUUGUGUGCGUGGUAGCGGAGCGUUGUGUAAGUCUGUGAAGGGUAACCGCGAGGUUGCCUGGAGAUAUCACAAGUGAGAAUGCUGACAUGAGUAGCGACAAAGAGUGUGAGAAACACUCUCGCCGAAAUCCCAAGGGUUCCUGUCCAAGGCUAAUCCGGGCAGGGUAAGUCGGCCCCUAAGGCGAGGCAGAAAUGCGUAGUCGAUGGGAAUCAGGUUAAUAUUCCUGAACCUGUUGGUGGUGACGGUGGCCGUAAGUUGUACUUCCUUAUUGGAUUGGAAGUGCCGCGAAGGACAUCCAGGAAAUAGCCCCAACAUUAAGACCGUACCCGAAACCGACACAGGUGGGAUGGUAGAGAAUACCAAGGCGCUUGAGAGAACUAUCUUGAAGGAACUCGGCAAAUUGCAUCCGUAACUUCGGGAGAAGGAUGCCCACCAUGAAGGCAACUUUAUGGUGGGGGCACAGACCAGGGGGUGGCGACUGUUUAUCAAAAACACAGGGCUCUGCGAAGUCGCAAGACGACGUAUAGGGUCUGACGCCUGCCCGGUGCCGGAAGGUUAAGAGGAGGUGUGCAAGCACUGAAUUGAAGCCCCGGUAAACGGCGGCCGUAACUAUAACGGUCCUAAGGUAGCGAAAUUCCUUGUCGGGUAAGUUCCGACCUGCACGAAUGGCGUAACGACUUCCCCACUGUCUCCAAGGUAGACUCAGCGAAAUUGAAUUCCCCGUGAAGAUGCGGGGUACCCGCGGUUAGACGGAAAGACCCUAUGAACCUUUACUAUAGCUUCACAGUGGUAUUACAAUUGUCAUGUGUAGGAUAGGUGGGAGGCUUUGAAGCGGCGACGCCAGUUGUCGUGGAGCCAUCCUUGAAAUACCACCCUUGACCUUUGUGAUAUCUAACUACGAUCCCUGAACCGGGAUCUAGGACCCUGUGUGGUGGGUAGUUUGACUGGGGCGGUCGCCUCCCAAAUGGUAACGGAGGCGCGCAAUGGUGAGCUCAAGACGGUCGGAAAUCGUCUUCAAGAGUGUAAUGGCAUAAGCUCGCCUGACUGCGAGACUGACAAGUCGAGCAGGGUGGAAACACGGUCAUAGUGAUCCGGUGACUCCGAAUGGAAGGGUCAUCGCUCAACGGAUAAAAGGUACUCUAGGGAUAACAGGCUGAUAGCGCCCAAGCGUCCACAGCGACGGCGCUGUUUGGCACCUCGAUGUCGGCUCAUCUCAUCCUGGGGCUGGAGCAGGUCCCAAGGGUAUGGCUGUUCGCCAUUUAAAGAGGUACGCGAGCUGGGUUCAGAACGUCGUGAGACAGUUCGGUCCCUAUCUGCCGUGGGUGUUGGAAACUUGAAGGGAGCUGUCCUUAGUACGAGAGGACCGGGAUGGACGCACCCCUGGUGUACCUGUUGUCGCGCCAGCGGCAUCGCAGGGUAGCUAUGUGCGGAAGGGAUAACCGCUGAAAGCAUCUAAGCGGGAAGCCCCCCCUAAAACUAGGUUUCCCUAUCAGAGCCGUGGAAGACCACCACGUUGAUAGGCCAGAUGUGGAAGUGCAGUAAUGCAUGAAGCUAACUGGUACUAAUUGCUCGAUCGGCUUGAAUCUAAACUACA
rnacentral:rRNA from 1 species